AACCUAAGGGGUGUCAUAACUCUUCCUCAAGACAUCAUUAAGUCAGCAUUAUUUCGAUACUUUGCAAAACCCUUCCAAAACACGACUUAUACCUUACAUUCUUCAACGUACUUUCUUCUCUUGCCUCAAAUGUCUUUGGAAUCUUAAUUAGAACCGUUAAGUACUACUUCUUACUCGUAGAAACAUCAUAUACUUCUUACCCUACAUUAUUCUAUCUACCACAUGACGAUAUGAAAUUUUCCGAGGUGUAACACUCUUCCCCCCUUUAAAAACAUUAGUCCUAGAGUAUCCCCUGUAAUAUGGCACUACUAUCCUGUCACAACAGCCCAUAAUAACAUCGUCUCACAGGGCUACAACACAAUAGCAAGUAAUUAUGGCUACACACGACCAAAAGCAUUAAAAAGAAAGCAUUACAUACCUUGUAAUACUGAUGUCUCAUCUUGAAUCUCUUCCGAGGGUGGAAAUAAUUGCAGGUACUUGGAUUUCAUGUCUUCUUCCGCUUCCCAAGUCAUUUACUCUCGGUUAUUAUUUCUCCGCAAGACCUUAACUGAGGCCACCUCUUUAUUUCUAAGUUUCCGUACUUGCCUAGCUAGUAUGGCAAUGGGUACCUCUUCAUAAGCCAACCUUUCGGUACUUGAACAUCAUCUACAAGCACGAUUCUAGUAGGAUAUCCGACACACUUACGGAGCAUUGAUACAUGAAAAACUGGAUGGACUAAUUCAAGUUCUGGAGGUAAGUCCAGUUCAUAAGCUACUUGGCCUAUCUUGCGGAUAAUCUUAUAAGGUCCAACGUAUCGAGGACUUAAUUUUCCCUUCUUGCCAAAUCUCAUCACGCCUUUUAUCGGUGACACCUUCAAGAAUACCCAAUUAUCAACUUGGAAUUAUAAGUCUCGCCGACGGUUGUCCGCAUAAGAUUUCUGGCGACUUUGGGAUGUCAAUAAUUGAUCUCGGAUAACCUUGAUCUUUUCCACUGCUUGCUGAAUCAACUCUGGACCUAUUAGUUAUAUCUCUCCUACUUCAAACCACCCAAUUAGGGAUCUACACUUUCUUCCAUAUAGAGCUUCAUACGGGGCCAUCUGAAUGCUAGAAUGAUGACUAUUGUUGUAUGCAAACUCAAUAAGGGGAAAGUGAUCAUCCCAGCUACCUCCGAAAUCUAGCACACAUGACCGUAACAUGUCUUCUAAGUUCUGAAUGGUGUGUUACGCUUGUCCAUCAGUUUGUGGGCGAAAUGCUGUGCUAAGUCUCACUUGAGUACCCAAACCUUAUUGGAACGACUUCCAGAAUUUAGCUGUAAAUUGUGUUCCUCUAUCUGUGAUAAUAGAUACCGGAACACCAUGAAGUCGUACUAUCGCCUUAAGGUAUAACCUUGCAUAAUCUUCUGCUCAAUAUGUGGUCCUGGUUGGGAGAAAAUGAGCUGAUUUUGUGAGUUUGUCAACAAUCACCCAUAUGGAGUCAUAUUUUCGCUGACAACGAGGAAAGCCUAUAAUGAAAUCCAUGUUAAUCACUUCCCAUUUCCAGGCUGGAAUUUCCAUGGCUUGUAACGAUCCUCCUAUCUUUUGAUACUCAAUUUUCACUUGUUGGCAAUUUGGACAUUGAGCUACAAAUUUUGUUGUGUCCUUCUUCAUUCCAUCCCAACAAUACAUUAACUUGAGAUCGUGAUACAUCUUUGUUGCUCCUGGGUGAAUGGAAUACCGAGAAUAAUGAUCUUCUUCUAGAAUUCGACGACGUAGUCCUGCAACAUUUGGGACACAUAGCCUGUCUCGGUACCUAAGAACUUCAUCUGCAGAAACUUCAAAUGGUGACUUCUCUUUCUCAGGAAAUGUAUCUCUAUAGCGACUCAACUGGGGAUCUUCAUAUUUGCGUUCUUUCACCUCCAUAUCUAAGGAAGAAACAGUUGGGUUGUGAAUACCAACUCUUGCAUUGCCCGAAUCAAUUAGAUGAACUCCGAGGCUGGCUAGCUGGUGAAGCUCACGGAUUAAUUCUUUCUGCUCCGGAGGGAUCUCACAUAGACUACCCAUUGAUUUGCGGCUAAGUGCAUCAGCUACUACAUUCGCAUUUCCAGGAUGAUAUAAAAUACUCACAUCGUAAUCCUUCAAUAAUUCUAACCACUGCCUCUGUCGUAGGUUUAACUCCUUCUGCUUGAAAAUAUACUAGAGACUCUUGUAAUUUGUAUAAAUAUCAACAUGUACACCGUACAAGUAAUGUCUCCACAUUUUUAGCGCAUGGAUAACUGCAGCCAAUUCCAGAUCAUGGGUCGGAUAAUUUUUCUUAUGUUUUCGCAACUGCCUUGAAGCAUAGGCAAUUACUUUAACGUGCUGCAUCAACACACAACCUAACCCAACACUAGAGGCAUCACAAUACACAACAUAACCAUCUAGCCCUUCUGGGAGUGUCAGGACUGGGGCUAAAGUUAAUUUAUCCUUCAAUUCCUGGAAACUGCGUUCACAAGCAUCGGUCCACUAAAAUUUUACUGAUUUCUGAGUUAGCUUCGUUAAUGGUGCUGAAAUAGAAGAGAAUCCUUCCACAAAUCUUCUAUAGUAGCCUGCUAAUCCCAAGAAGCUACGGACCUCUGUAUGCAUUGUGGGCCUUGGCCAAGUCUUCACAACCUCAAUUUUCUGAGUAUCAACUCCAAUGUCGUUAGCUGAAAUGAUAUCGCCCAGAAAAGUUACAGAAUUCAGCCAGAACUCACAUUUCAAAAAUUUAGCAUACAACUCACUAGUCCGAAGAAUCCCAAGACAGUACGCAAAUGGUCUACAUGCUCUGCUUCUGUCCGAGAGUAUACUAGAAUAUCAUCAAUGAACACGAUCAAAAAUAGAUCUAGAAAGGGCCUGAAUACAUUAUUCAUCAGAUUCAUUAACACCGCCGGAGCAUUAGUCAACCCAAAUGACAUCACCCAAAAUUCAUAGUGGCCAUAUCUCGUUCUGAAAGCUAUUUUGGGAAUAUCUUCUUCUCUAACUCUCACUUGACGAUACCCCGAUCUUAGAUCAAUUUUGGAAAAUCAUUCGGCACCCUGUAAUUGGUCAAACAAAUCAUCGAUUCUUAGAAGCGGAUAUUUAUUCUUUAUCGUCACCUUGUUCAGCUACCUAUAAUCAAUGCACAUCUGUAGGGAACCAUCUUUCUUUCUCACAAAUAGGACAGGUGCUCCCCACGGUGAUGAACUGAGCCUAAUGAAUCCCUUCUCCAGCAAAUCUUUCAGUUGUGCCUUUAGCUCUUUCAAUUCUGCAGGAGCCAUUCUGUAAGGAGGAAUAGAGAUUGGUUUAGUAUCCAGUAACACAUAAAUAACAAAAUCAAUCUCCCGCUCCGGUGGAAGACCUGGAAGUUCAUCUGGAAAUACAUCUGAAAAUUCAUUUACUACCGGGACAGAUUGAAAAGUCGAUGGCUUUGCUUCGAUGUUAUGAACUCGGACUAGAUGAUAAAUAUAGCCUUUGGCGAUCAUCUUCCUCGCCCUGAGGUAGGAAAUAAACCUACCUCUUGGGGACGUUGUAUUACCUUUCCAUUCAAGCACGGGUUCUCCCGGGAAUUAGAACCGAACUAUUUUCGUUUUGCAAUCCACAUUAGCAUAACAAGAGGCCAACCAGUCCAUACCCAUAAUAAAAUCAAAAUCUAAUAUUUUCAGCACAACCAAAUCAACUUUAGUCUGAUGAUCACAUACCACAAUCACACAAUUUAUAUACACUUGUCUAGCUAUUACUGGAUCACCAACCGGAGUAGAUACCUCGAAAUGUUUAAUUGGCUCGAAUUUCACCCCAAUGCGGCCAGCAAUAUAAGGAGUAAUAUAAGACAACGUAUAACCCAGAUCAAUCAAUGCAUAAACAUCGUGAGAGAAUAUGGAUAGUAUACCUGUAACCACAUCCGGGGAGGACUCAAGAUCCUGAUGUCCAGCUAAAGCAUAAAUACGGGGCUGGGUACCACCUGAACUGGAUGCUCCCCCUCUGCCCCUACCGCGGCCUACUGGAGUCUGAGGAAUCUGCCAUAUCGGGCGCACAGAUGAGGAAGAACCAGCCGGUGAUCCUGUGGACUGAACCCCACUUCUACCGUGCCUCGAGGGACAAUCACGCAUCACGUGCCCAGUCUGUCAACAAACAUAACAAACAUCUUAACCUUGGCGACACGGGCCCGAAUGUAACUUUCUGCACUGGCUACAUCGUGGAACUGGUGGUCUCCUCUAACUAGGAUCACCUCUAAACUGAGGACCUGAGACUCUCGAACUCUGAUCCAGACCAGAAUAAAUAGGGCGAUCAAAUCUCCUGCCCGCAAAUCGAGGAGGUGCACUCAUCGCGGACUGGCCCGAAUGUCUGGAAUACUAUUGCCGCUGACCCCCUCUAUACUUACUACUAGCACCGGCAAAUCUGUCCCUCUUGCUCUAUCCUCAGUCAAUAUCACGCUCACCCCUCUGCGGUUGUUGCUGCUCUUCUAAAUUCUAGGCGUGAGCCUGAAUACGGGAAAUGUCCAUCCCCUCCUGUAGUGAAGCUGUCAGACAAUCCUUGAACAAGUGUUGCCCUAAGCCGCUCACAAAUCUAUGUACUCUAUCUUUCAUGUCAGCCACCAUAGUCAUAGCAUAUCUAGCCAAUGAAUUAAAUUAAAGGCUAUACUCCCGAGCACUCAUAUUCCUUUGCUUUAGAUUCAGAAACCUGUCAGCUCGACCCCUUCGAACCUCAGGUGGCAAAUAGUGGCGGAUGAAAGCAUCUAUGAAUUCUUGCCAAACUGGGGGAGGUGCAUUAUCCUUUCUCGAAGAUAUCCAGUUAUUAUACCAAAAAAACCACCACAUCCCGGAGUCUAUAAGAUGCCAACUCCACAUAUUUAGUAUCGGAGGCAUGGAUGAUUCUAGACGUUCUCAGCAUCUCAUCAAUAAAACCUUGCGGGUCUUCAUCCGGCUUUGACCCGAAAAAUUCUGGGGGAUUUAAACUCAUGAAAUCACGGGCUCUAGCACUAGUCGCCCUGCCACCUUGACCCGUACUCUGCUGCUGAGCCUGAGCGGCAAUUUGCUGUGUCAAUAGCUAAAUAGCUUCGGUCAUCUGUUGACCCGAAGCACCCGGUGAAGGAACUGGAGGCAUAGGAGUCGGAACUGAAGCCCCUCCUUAUUCUUCAAGGAUAGGCGGAGUAUGAGAGGUAUUGGAUGGAGCCUCAUUUUGGGAUUUACCUUCUUCUACAUUCAUUGGCGGCUCCCUUUCCAUCCCCCUUUCUGUCGUAGCCUUACCCUUCUGGGCGGCUGUGGCUUUCCUCUUUACCGGCAUCACUGAAAUCAUAACGCACAAUCAGGGGAAAGAAAAUCUUACAACAUGGCUCUAUCGCACGGUCUAAUAAUAAGAAGAAUGGUCAUUUUUCAUAAAUGCCCCGCAGCCCCUUGUUUAUAAGUGUGGCACGCUUCACACCCAUAAAUGAGACUCUGUUGGACACGGCUCGUAGACACACCCUAGGACGGAACUGCUCUGAUACCACUUUUGUCAUGACCCGAUUAGGGGCCAUGACGGAUACCCGGAGCUUACUACCGAGCACCACUCAUUAUGCUAGUCAUCAUACUCAUCCUGGGCACAUAUAAUCUCCAAGGCAAUACAUAAAUAUACAUAAGCCCUCACGGCUGCAAAAUGAUAUACAAAAAUAUACAUUGAUGUAUUCAUAAGACAACAACUACCCACGCAUCCGUAUCUACGAGCUCUACUAGAGUGCUGUGACAUGAGGACAGGACAGGACCCCGUCAUACCCCAAAUAUAUACACAAAAGAAUAUGUUUGUAAGUAGCACCUUCGGAGUAGUGGAGUGCUCCUGUGAAUCCGCUGAUAAGCUCCUACAAGUCUGCACCGUCUCCCUGUCUACCUAUGGGCAUGAAAACAGCGUCCAAAAAGAAAGUACGUCAGUACAAAAAAUGUACUGAGUAUGUAAGGCAUGAAUAAUACUAGCAUAAAUAAGAAAUAACGAAACAUGAGGCGAAGAUAUAACCUGUACGUCAAUUGCCUCUUAGGGCGAAUACUAUGCCUGAUUAACUUUUAAAGGAAAACACAUGUUAUACACAUCAAAUAUACCAUCACCGUUAACCCGCGUCCGGCUAAUCAUCACACGCCGCCCACUAGUGGUGUCAUGUCUGGCCUUUAGGCACGGUGUAAUCAUAAGCAGCCCGCCUUAGGGGUGUUAUGUCCAGCCAUCUAGGCACGGUGUAAUCAUAAGCAGCCCGCCUUAGCGGUGUCAUGUCCGGCCAUCUAGGCACGGUGUAAUUUCAUCAUUUUAUACUUAUCAUAAAGCAUGCCUUAGAAAUCAAUUAAAUACUACAACUCUAUCGGGUGGAGCAGUCAUGAUCAUCAUGCCUCACCUUGAAGGAACUAGCAUCAUAAGGUGAGUCUAGCAACAAUGAAUAACAGCAUGGAAUGGUUAGCUUCAUAAAGAUAUCAUAUCAUAAGCCUUGGAACCUCUAGACUUAGACUCAUCAUCAUCAUUGUCAUAUUUACAACGCAUCUCUUAUCUUUAUUACAUGAGAAGUUGUUAAUAAUCAUAGAUUCAUAGUUUCCAGAAUAUAAAAGAGUUAUGGAAAGCUAAAGGAAGUCAUGUUGUAGGAAUCAUGCCUUAGAGAAGAAGGGACUAGCCUUACAUACCUCUUUGUCUCCUAAACUCUAUCGACUAGAUGGUUCCCUUCGAUGCCGACGAUUCUACAUUCAAGAGAAUUCGUACUAAGAUUAGAUAACCAGAAAUAUACUUAAGCUUAAGCUAAAGCUAAUGAAAAUUGGGCAGCAUCUCCUUUGUUUCUACAACUUCCUCCAUAUGCUAUAACAACUCCCAACAUCAAUAACAACAUUCAUAAUAUCAUAAUCAAUAACUUUGUCAAGUUCGACAUUAUCCAAUUCCCACAAUUCCCUACCAAAAUGAUUCAUGGCCUUAGCUAUGGCAUAACAUCGUAUUCAUUUCUCAUAUAAUACCUCUUUAACAUCAUUUGUACCAUUUACAAUAAGAUUUCAGUCAUAACAUCUCAAGAAUCAUGAUUCAUGUCAAACUACUAUUCAAGAAUACCACUAUUCUUAUAUUUGUAACCCAUUCUCUACUUUCUUCUAUAAUCCAAGUCUUUCAACAAUUCAAUACUCUUAAUAGCAUGAAAUGAACAUAAAACUCACCUUUGAUUGUGAAGGAAUGGGUUUUGGAUGGAAAUACUUCACUUGGAGAAAACCUUAGCUUCACUUCUAAAGAAAUUUUUAGCUUCCAUCAACUCUAGUUAGCAUUCUUGCACUUAAUUCUACUAGUUUUUUUGUAUUUGAUCUUUGAUUUCCCUUGAAUUCAUGUAAACGAAGUGUGUGGAAUAUUCUAGAGGUUUAGAGAGAAGUGGAGAAAAUAAGAAAUGAGAAAUAAGACCUUGAAGUCAUCUUUUUAUAAAAAAUUAAAACUGCCUAACGGGAGUUAUACGGACUCUUAUACGGUCCGUAUAAGUGACCAUAUAACUCCAUUAGUGAUGGCCCUUCACUGUAACGGUUAUACGGACCAUUAUAAGGGCCGUAUAAAUGGUCGUAUAAUCCACCUUUUCUCCGAACUUGUUCUCAUCGUCUCGUUUGAUCUCCAAUUCUUAUGGAACCUUCUUAGCACUUGUAGGGGCAUCAUAACUCUUCCUCAAGACAUCAUUAAGUCAACAUUAUUUCGGUACUUUGCAAAACCCUUCCAAAACACGACUUAUACCUUACAUUCUUCAACGAAGUCUCUUUUCUUGUCUCAAAUGUAUUUGGAAUCUUAAUUAGAACCGUUAAGUACUACUUCUUACUUGUAGAUCCUAUGUUAGUCUAUCUACCACAUGACGACAUGAAAUUUUUCGAGGUGUAACACUAUACUUGUUCUAAUUGAAGUAAAGUUAGAAAUUAGAAUGAAAAUAAUGAGGCUGGAGAUUAAUAGCAACAUUGGAGAUCAGUAACAGUAAUAAGGCUACAUUUACACAUGCCAUGAGUAGCAGCAUAUACUGAAUGAAAAUGUUUUUGGUAGGAUUACAAAAGUGGUAUUAGCAUGUGCACAUGCUCAUUCAUUUGUAGUACUUCUAAAUAUCUGUUCAUUUAAGAAAUUAGAGACAAUGGCAAACAGAGUGCAACACAAUGUCAAGGAGAUAACAGCUGGAUCUGAAGAAAUAAUAGAAGAAUGCUACUCCAUCCUGGAAGUAUAGCACCUGGUGAGAGAUUGUAGGUGUUUGAGAUGGUGUCAAGUCAAGGCCAGAGGAUCUGCAGUAGACAAGCUUCUAUACAGUCUUUGGAUGUACAGAUCUGGGCACGAGUUGAGCAUCUUGGUUCAGUGACUAUUGGAGAGCACUAUCUUGGAGUCCAGGGUGUGUUGUUGUUGCCUUCCCAAUACCGGAUUCCUCUAUAUCCUUAUUUUUGUCUUCCUUAUUUCAGACUGUGUUGUAUUAGCUUUUAAGACUUGUAAUCGUAUUCUAUAAAGCUAUUGUACUUGUGACUUCCAGGUUUUAGGGGCAUGUUGUCUCUAAUUUAUUUUCAGCAAGUUAUUAAGACUAUUUCAGUACUUUGGGAGUUCCUUUAAUUUCCUCAUUAACUUA